GACGAACGCUGGCGGCGUGCUUAACACAUGCAAGUCGAGCGGUAAGGCCCUUCGGGGUACACGAGCGGCGAACGGGUGAGUAACACGUGAGCAAUCUGCCCUUCACUUUGGGAUAACCCUCGGAAACGGGGGCUAAUACCGGAUAUGACUGCGCAUCGCAUGGUGUGUGGUGGAAAGUUCCAACGGUAUAAGAUGAGCAUGCGUCCUAUUAGCUAGAUGGUAAGGUAACGGCUUACCAUGGCAACGAUAGGUAGGGGUCCUGAGAGGGAGAUCCCCCACACUGGUACUGAGACACGGACCAGGCUCCUACGGGAGGCAGCAGUGAGGAAUAUUGGACAAUGGGCGCAAGCCUGAUCCAGCCAUGCCGCGUGCAGGAAGAAGCAUCUAUGGUGUGUAAACUGCUUUUGUACGGGAAGAAACACCCCUUCGUGAAGGGACUUGACGGUACCGUAAGAAUAAGGAUCGGCUAACUCCGUGCCAGCCGCCGCGGUAAAAC
rnacentral:rRNA from 1 species